CGGCGUGCCUAAUACAUGCAAGUCGAACGGUCUUUCUAUGGAAGCUUGCUUCCACUGAGAAGAUAGUGGCGAACGGGUGAGUAACACGUGGGUAACCUGCCCAUAAGAGGGGGAUAACAUCCGGAAACGGGUGCUAAUACCGCAUAGUUUCCUUGAUCGCAUGAUUGAGAAAGGAAAGACGGCCUUUGUGCUGUCGCUUAUGGAUGGACCCGCGGCGUAUUAGUUAGUUGGUGAGGUAACGGCUCACCAAGACGAUGAUACGUAGCCGACCUGAGAGGGUGAUCGGCCACAUUGGGACUGAGACACGGCCCAAACUCCUACGGGAGGCAGCAGUAGGGAAUCUUCCGCAAUGGACGAAAGUCUGACGGAGCAACGCCGCGUGAGUGAAAGAAGGUUUUCGGAUCGUAAAACUCUGUUGUCAGAGAAGAACAAGUUGGAGAGUAACUGCUCCAGCCUUGACGGUAUCUGACCAGAAAGCCACGGCUAACUACGUGCCAGCCGCCGC
rnacentral:rRNA from 1 species